ACUAUUCAAAAAAGGAUGCAAUGGAGAACAUUUACAGAGGACUGUGGGUAAAGCAAAGUCUUCAAGGGAAGAUAACAAAGGAUGAAACAAUGGUGUUGUGUGACUUCCUAGUGUGAAUCAUGGCAAUACAGUGAAAGACAGUGAUUUACUGCUUUUGAGGGCGUGCAUGUAUAUGAUUAACGGAUGGAAGUGCAGGACUCCAAGAUUUACUUCCUUCCCUUUCCAGCAGAAUUACCUGAGACGAGGUUCAAAUGAACAAAUCGAAUUGUCUGUUAUCCUAAGAAAUGCUAAAUUGUCCAGAAUAGACCUGCAUUAACAAAGUGUAAAGUGAAACAAGAGACCAGUUGGCAGAGAGAGAAAAGAGAGAGAUUUCGACUAAAGCCUAGAAGAAUAGGUAAUGAAUGACUACUCAGAAAGAAGGUAAAAUCUACUGGUGGAGUCACUCCAUUAUUCUUAUCUGUGGAGAUCUAGAUCUUGAUUUGAAAGUUUCUGAGAAAAUCUUCAGCUCAGACUUGAGGGUCAACUUUACCAGCUGAAGGAUCUGCAUUUACUGCUCAACCACAUCUAAUUUGAUGUCCUCUGCAGAUUUAAAAUGUGUGCCUUCUUUUCCGUCACCAAGUCAUCCCUGGGUUACUACUGAACAUCCUUCUCAAUUCCCCCCGACCCAUGGAUGGCUGUUCUCCAUUGUCUGUUUCACCAGAUGUCCUCAAAACAAACAGACAGAAGAAGGAAGUGGCUAAUGGAGCUGUGGAGUCCAAGUGUGACUGCCAAGAGGAAUCCAGCAAAGCCAAAAAGCCCAAGCAUGUAGCCCUGCCCGAAGCACGCCACACGCAUGGAAAACCCAGAGGAAAUGAGUGAGGAUCAAUGGGAAGAAGAGAGCCAGCCAGGAAGUUGAAGAUUUGUCCAGGAGCAGAUAGCUGAAGAGAGAGAGAGAGAAGAGAGAACGGCUUACAGCUCAGGUCCUCUCUCCAUGCUUAGGAACCACUACAAAUGCUACUGCCUUGAGUCUCAUUUUGUUUCCCUCUGGAAACCACAUGUGUACCUUGUUUGCAACAGUAUGGUUCUGGAGACCAGAAGGCCAAAAUCAAAAGUAUGGGCAGGCUUGAUUUCUUUAGAAGACUCCAGCGGAGAACUGUGUCUCCUUGCUUCUGAUUCUACAUCUCCAUCCAUGGGCCACUGUUUCAGCAACCUCAGCCAGUGCAACACAACCUCAGCCAAGAAGAGUAUGCAGAGAAAGGAGUCCCCUACCUGCCACAAAACUGUUGUCUGAAAACUGUCUCAUAUUGUCUCAAGUUGUCAUUCAUUGUGAAUUAGACCUGUUUAACAUGUAAUCUGCAACAU
ensembl:lncRNA CASC15 cancer susceptibility 15